CUUGCCUGUUGGGAGGAUGUUGCUAUGAAGAUUUGUGACCAGAGCAUUUGUUGUGGAUACUGCUACUAAAUCAUCCUCCAUGAUUCCACUCAGUCAGUUCUCCCAUGUGUGGACUAUAGAAGUGACUAUGUGACAGACAAUAUGGAGAAACAGCAGCAUCGUACGGGAAGCAGAGAAACACCAGAAACGAUAAGAGAGAUGAUUCUGGAAGGACAAUUUGAUUAUGAAGUGAAGAAGAUAAAUUAAGAUAAGAGGCAAGAGUGAAGGCAAAAGUUGUCUGAAGAAGAUGAAUUGUUUAUAAAAUAUACUUUGAUUUGAACAUAGCAUUAAGAACAUAUCAAAUUUAGUGACUUAAAAUAAUACAAUUUAGGUGGCACAAGACACAUUUCUGAAUAGGUGUCUUCCUUCUUAAUUCACAUAGAGCGGAAUUCUAUGCCAGGCAGUCUAUAAAGGUUUCUUGACAUGAAGACUGUGUGCAGACAUGAAUAUAAAGAUUAGCCUCCAGCAUUAUGAUGAAUAAAGUAUACAGUGAUAUUUUAAAAGGGUGAAAGAUUAUAUACAGCAUGGAGUGCUGUUGUGUUUGGUUUAAAAAUGUUUUAGCAAUAGGAUUUCUGAGUAAUGAUUCCUGAGUUAUGUGAGAAAUUGGGAUUGCACAAGUCUCUCAGCCAAUGAAAACAUCAUUAUCAAAGAGGCAAUAGGAAUCAACCUCCCUCAAAAAAUCCUGAGGGAAAAAGGACAGAAGGAGAAUGAACAGAGAUGGUCGACACGCAUACGUAAUCAAUCUCAGUACUGAAAACAUGUAGGCAUGAAGGAAACCAGGGUAUUAAUACUUGAGAUGGAAAUUCUUAUAGUGAAAUGAGAUAUUUUUAGAGACUAAAGGGGUGAUCAAAAAGCAGCAGUGAUGGGUAAGAAGGACCCCUUCCAUACUCCCAGAUGCAGGAUCAAGCAAGAUGGUGGAUGUGGAGACAAGGACGCUAUAAACAAACAAAACACAAAACAGGAUUUCAAUUGCAUUAUAUAGAAAUAUGAAAAUCAAUUGCACAGAGAAGUAGAAGAAUCUACUCAUUUUCUUUUGCUUUGCAUUUUUAUAUCACUGCUGUGUUCCAUAGGUAGACUGACAAUUUCAAGGCUAUCCAAUUUUAACAACAUUCUAUUUCCUUUUGAGCUUAAAAACUUCACUUGACAUUCAACCUUUGUCUAAAUUGCCUCCUCAAGAUAUGGAAGGCUUAAUCAUGAAUUUUCUUAUUGUUCUAUGUAGACUGUUCAUCUAUCAACAAGUUAGCUCUUAAGGGUCUAGUGUGUUUCUGGUUUUCUUCUGGAUGUUUAAACAUUUAUUUAUGUUAAUAUUCAACAUGUUAAAUAAAUUUCAUAACAUUAUUAUGUUGUGGUUUUUAUAAUGUUAAUUUUGCUCAUUUGA